rnacentral:rRNA from 1 species
AAGUCGUAACAAGGUCUCCGUUGGUGAACCAGCGGAGGGAUCAUUACCGAGUUUACAACUCCCAAACCCCUGUGAACAUACCUUAAUGUUGCCUCGGCGGAUCAGCCCGCGCCCCGUAAAACGGGACGGCCCGCCAGAGGACCCAAACUCUAAUGUUUCUUAUUGUAACUUCUGAGUAAAACAAACAAAUAAAUCAAAACUUUCAACAACGGAUCUCUUGGUUCUGGCAUCGAUGAAGAACGCAGCAAAAUGCGAUAAGUAAUGUGAAUUGCAGAAUUCAGUGAAUCAUCGAAUCUUUGAACGCACACUGCGCCCGCUGGUAUUCCGGCGGGCAUGCCUGUUCGAGCGUCAUUUCAACCCUCAAGCCCCCGGGUUUGGUGUCGGGGAUCGGCUCUGCCCUUCUGGGCGGUGCCGCCCCCGAAAUACAUUGGCGGUCUCGCUGCAGCCUCCAUUGCGUAGUAGCUAACACCUCGCAACUGGAACGCGGCGCGGCCAUGCCGUAAAACCCCAACUUCUGAAUGUUGACCUCGGAUCAGGUAGGAAUACCCGCUGAACUUAA